rnacentral:rRNA from 1 species
GGACUACAGGGGUUUCUAAUCCUGUUUGCUCCCCUAGCUUUCGCGCCUCAGCGUCGGUAACGGUCCAGGGAGCCACCUUCGCCGCUGGUGUUCCUCCCGAUCUCUACGCAUUUCACCGCUACACCGGGAAUUCCACUCCCCCAUCCCGUACCCUAGCACGGCAGUUUUCGGUGAUCCCUCCCAGUUAAGCCGGGAGAUUUCACACCAAACACACCGCACCGCCUACGCGCUCUUUACGCCCAGUAAUUCCGAACAACGCUGGCCCCCUACGUAUUACCGCGGCUGCUGGCAC